GGCUCUAUAACUCAGGGGUUAGAGCACUGGUCUUAUAAACCAGGUGUCAUGAGUUCAAUUCUCACUAGUGCUC